rnacentral:rRNA from 1 species
GUAGGUGGCAAGCGUUGUCCGGAAUUAUUGGGCGUAAAGCGCGCGCAGGCGGGUCCUUUAAGUCUGAUGUGAAAGCCCACGGGCUCAACCGUGGAGGGUCAUUGGAAACUGGGGGACUUGAGUACAGAAGAGGAAAGCGGAAUUCCAAGUGUAGCGGUGAAAUGCGUAGAGAUUUGGAGGAACACCAGUGGCGAAGGCGGCUUUCUGGUCUGUAACUGACGCUGAGGCGCGAAAGCGUGGGGAGCAAACAGGAUUAGAGACCCUGGUAGUCCACGCCGUAAACGAUGAGUGCUAAGUGUUAGGGGGUUUCCGCCCCUUAGUGCUGCAGCUAACGCAUUAAGCACUCCGCCUGGGGAGUACGGCCGCAAAGGCUG